rnacentral:rRNA from 1 species
CCUACGGGAGGCUGCAGUGGGGAAUAUUGGACAAUGGGCGAAAGCCUGAUCCAGCCAUGCCGCGUGUGUGAAGAAGGCCUUCGGGUUGUAAAGCACUUUCAGUGGGGAAGAAAGCCUUGGGGCUAAUACCCUCGAGGAAGGACAUCACCCACAGAAGAAGCACCGGCUAACUCCGUGCCAGCAGCCGCGGUAAUACGGAGGGUGCGAGCGUUAAUCGGAAUUACUGGGCGUAAAGCGCGCGUAGGCGGUCUGAUAAGCCGGUUGGGAAAGCCCCGGGCUCAACCUGGGAACGGCAUCCGGAACUGUCAGGCUAGAGUGCAGGAGAGGAAGGUAGAAUUCCCGGUGUAGCGGUGAAAUGCGUAGAGAUCGGGAGGAAUACCAGUGGCGAAGGCGGCCUUCUGGACUGACACUGACGCUGAGGUGCGAAAGCGUGGGUAGCAAACAGGAUUAGAUACCCCAGUAGUC